rnacentral:rRNA from 1 species
AUUGAACGCUGGCGGCAGGCCUAACACAUGCAAGUCGAACGGGUGGCGGACGGGUGGGUAAUGUCUUGGAAACUGCCUGAUGGAGGGGGAUAACUACUGGAAACGGUAGCUAAUACCGCAUACCAUCAGAUGUGCCCAAAUGGGAUUAGCUUGUUGGUGGGGUAAAGGCUCACCAAGGCGACGGUCCCUUGCGGGUCUGAGAGGAUGACCAGCCACACUGGAACUGAGACACGGUCCAGACUCCUACGGGAGGCAGCAGUGGGGAAUAUUGCACAAUGGGCGCAAGCCUGAUACAGCCAUGCCGCGUGUAUGAAGAAGGCCUUCGGGUUGUAAAGUACUUUCAUCGGGGAGGCGUUACCCGCAGAAGAAGCACCGGCUAACUCCGUGCCAGCAGCCGCGGUAAUAC